rnacentral:rRNA from 1 species
UACGUAGGGCGCGAGCGUUGUCCGGAUUUAUUGGGCGUAAAGAGCUCGUAGGCGGCUUGUCGCGUCGUCCGUGAAAACCUGCAGCUCAACUGCAGGCUUGCGGUGGAUACGGGCAGGCUAGAGUUCGGUAGGGGAGACUGGAAUUCCUGGUGUAGCGGUGAAAUGCGCAGAUAUCAGGAGGAACACCGGUGGCGAAGGCGGGUCUCUGGGCCGAUACUGACGCUGAGGAGCGAAAGCGUGGGGAGCGAACAGG